GUAGGGUGCGAGCGUUAAUCGGAAUUACUGGGCGUAAAGCGUGCGCAGGCGGUUUCGUAAGCUGGAGGUGAAAUCCCCGGGCUCAACCUGGGAAUGCCCUUCAGGACUGCGAGGCUAGAGUGCGGCAGAGGGAGGUGGAAUUCCACGUGUAGCAGUGAAAUGCGUAGAUAUGUGGAGGAACACCGAUGGCGAAGGCAGCCUCCUGGGCCAGCACUGACGCUCAUGCACGAAAGCGUGGGGAGCAACCAGGAUUAGAUACCCUGGUAGUCCACGCCCUAAACGAUGUCAACUAGGUGUUGGGGAAGGUGACUUCCUUAGUACCGCAGCUAACGCGUGAAGUUGACCGCCUGGGGAGUACGGCCGCAAGGUUA
rnacentral:rRNA from 1 species